rnacentral:rRNA from 1 species
CGUAGGGGCUAGCGUUAUCCGGAAUUACUGGGGCGUAAAAGGGUGCGUAGGUGGUUUCUUAAGUCAGAGGUGAAAGGCUACGGCUCAACCGUAGUAAGCCUUUGAAACUGAGAAACUUGAGUGCAGGAGAGGAGAGUAGAAUUCCUAGUGUAGCGGUGAAAUGCGUAGAUAUUAGGAGGAAUACCAGUUGCGAAGGCGGCUCUCUGGACUGUAACUGACACUGAGGCACGAAAGCGUGGGGGAGCAAACAGGAUU